CCUACGGGAGACAGCAGUGAGGAAUAUUGGUCAAUGGACGCAAGUCUGAACCAGCCAUGCCGCGUGCAGGAAGACGGCUCUAUGAGUUGUAAACUGCUUUUGUACGAGGGUAAACGCGGAUACGUGUAUAUGUCUGAAAGUAUCGUACGAAGAAGGAUCGACUAACACCGUGCCAGCAGCCGCGGUAAUACGGAGGGUUCAAGCGUUAUCCGGAUUUAUUGGGUUUAAAGGGUGCGUAGGCGGUAGGAUAAGUUAGAGGUGAAAUCCCGAGGCUCAACUUCGGAAUUGCCUCUGAUACUGUUCAGCUAGAGUGUAGUUGCGGUAAGCGGAAUGUAUGGUGUAGCGGUGAAAUGCUUAGAGAUUA
rnacentral:rRNA from 1 species